ACGACGAUCCAUGAAGACUAUGAUGCAUGGACAAUAUGCUGCUCCUCCACCCAGGAGAGAACCAGGUUUCCUUGAGGGAUGUCUUGCGGCUUUGUGUUGCUGCUGCCUAAUUGACGAGUGUUGCUGCGAUCCUUCUAUCCUCUGUUUCUUUUAGAAUUAAUAUAUAUCCAUUGGAUAAUUCCACAACCAUAUGUUGUUGUAUAAGUGUAAUGCUUCUUGAUUUCAAAUUUUCUUUAAUUCGGUAAAAUUUAUGUACAAGACUACUAGUUGUUUCUUUUCUGCAAUCUAUGUGUGGUAUCCAUAAUAGUUAUAUAUCUUCUUCAUUCACCAGUUCA